GCCGGGGGUGCGGGCGCCGCGCGGAGGAGCAGGUGCUGGGCCUGGGAUCCGGGGCGCAGGUGGAGCCGGACGGCCGCACGGCCCGGAGUGCCCUGCGUCGGGGGCCUCAGACUCAGUGUUGCUGGUGACGGCCCCGGAGUCCUGGGCACUGCAGGCAGGUGCAGGUUGCAGUUGCAGGUAUUUCUGCGGGAAAAGGCUGGAAAUGCCGGGCAGCGACAGGACAGUACACCAAAAGGUUCA
rnacentral:lncRNA from 1 species